rnacentral:rRNA from 1 species
AUUGAACGCUGGCGGCAGGCCUAACACAUGCAAGUCGAACGGUAACAGGAAGAAGCUUGCUUCUUUGCUGACGAGUGGCGGACGGGUGAGUAAUGUCUGGGAAACUGCCUGAUGGAGGGGGAUAACUACUGGAAACGGUAGCUAAUACCGCAUAACGUCGCAAGACCAAAGAGGGGGACCUUCGGGCCUCUUGCCAUCGGAUGUUCCCAGAUGGGAUUAGCUAGUAGGUGGGGUAACGGCUCACCUAGGCGACGAUCCCUAGCUGGUCUGAGAGGAUGACCGGCCACACUGGAACUGAGACACGGUCCAGACUCCUACGGGAGGCAGCAGUGGGGAAUAUUGCACAAUGGGCGCAAGCCUGAUGCAGCCAUGCCGCGUGUAUGAAGAAGGCCUUCGGGUUGUAAAGUACUUUCAGCGGGGAGGAAGGGAGUAAAGUUAAUACCUUUGCUCAUUGACGUUACCCGCAGAAGAAGCACCGGCUAACUCCGUG